rnacentral:ncRNA from 1 species
UCUAUCCGAGAAGGGUGUCUGCCCUUUCAACUAGAUGGUAAUCUAUUGGACUACCAUGGUUGUUACGGGUAACGGAGAAUUAGGGUUCGACUCCGGAGAGGGAGCCUUAGAAACGGCUACCACGUCCAAGGAAGGCAGCAGGCGCGAAACUUAUCCACUGUUGAGUAUGAGAUAGUGACUAAAAAUAUAAAGACUCAUCCUUUUGGAUGAGUUAUUUCAAUGAGUUGAAUAUAAAUUAUUCUUCGAGUAGCAAGGAGAGGGCAAGUCUGGUGCCAGCAGCCGCGGUAAUUCCAGCUCUCCUAGUGUAUCUCGUUAUUGCUGCGGUUAAAAAGCUCGUAGUUGGAUCUAGGUUACGUGCCGCAGUUCGCAAUUUGCGUUAACUGUGGUCGUGACUUCUAAUUUGCUGGUUUGAGGUUGGGUUCGCCCUUCAACUGCCAGCAGGUUUACCUUGAAUAAAUCAGAGUGCUCAAUACAGGCGCUUGCUUGAAUAGCUCAUCAUGGAAUAAUGAAACAGGACUUCGGUUCUUUUUGUUGGUUCUAGAAUUGAUCUAAUGGUUAAGAGGGACAAACCGGGGGCAUUCGUAUCAUUACGCGAGAGGUGAAAUUCGUGGACCGUAGUGAGACGCCCAAUAGCGAAAGCAUUUGCCAAGAAUGUCUUACAUUAAUCAAGAACGAAAGUCAGAGGUUCGAAGGCGAUUAGAUACCGCCCUAGUUCUGACCGUAAACGAUGCCAUCUCGCGAUUCGGAGGGUUCAUGCCCUACCGAGGAGCUACCCGGAAACGAAAGUCUUUCGGUUCCGGGGGUAGUAUGGUUGCAAAGCUGAAACUUAAAGAAAUUGACGGAAGGGCACCACAAGGCGUGGAGCUUGCGGCUUAAUUUGACUCAACACGGGAAAACUCACCCGGUCCGGACACUAUUAGGACUGACAGAUUGAAAGCUCUUUCUCGAUUUGGUGGUUGGUGGUGCAUGGCCGUUCUUAGUUGGUGGAGUGAUUUGUCUGGUUU